rnacentral:rRNA from 1 species
GACGAACGCUGGCGGCGUGCUUAACACAUGCAAGUCGAACGCUGAAGCUCAGCUUUUGUUGGGUGGAUGAGUGGCGAACGGGUGAGUAACACGUGAGUAACCUGCCCCCUUCUUUGGGAUAACGCCCGGAAACGGGUGCUAAUACUGGAUAUUCACUGGUCUUCGCAUGGGGGUUGGUGGAAAGGGUUUUUCUGGUGGGGGAUGGGCUCGCGGCCUAUCAGCUUGUUGGUGGGGUGAUGGCCUACCAAGGCUUUGACGGGUAGCCGGCCUGAGAGGGUGACCGGUCACAUUGGGACUGAGAUACGGCCCAGACUCCUACGGGAGGCAGCAGUGGGGAAUAUUGCACAAGGGGCGCAAGCCUGAUGCAGCGACGCCGCGUGAGGGAUGGAGGCCUUCGGGUUGUGAACCUCUUUCGCUCAUGGUCAAGCCGCAACAAUGGUUGUGGUGAGGGGAGUGGGUAAAGAAGCGCCGGCGAACUACGU